GAGCCAGUAGCGUAUAGUGGUUUGAGUGUUGAACUAUGACUCUGGAGACCAGGGUUCGAUUCCCUGCUUGGCCA